UCAGAAACUCAAAGGAAUUGACGGGGCCCGCACAAGCGGUGGAGUAUGUGGUUAAUUCGAUGCAACGCGAAGAACCUUACCUGGUCUUGACCAUCCCGGAGACCCUUAGGAAACUAGGGGUGCUUCCAUCUGGAAGAAUCUGGAGACAGGUGCUGCAUGGCUGUCGUCAGCUCGUGUCGUGAGAUGUUGGGUUAAGUCCCGCAACGAGCGCAACCCUUGCCUUUAGUUGCCAGCAGUUCGGCUGGGCACUCUAAAGGGACUGCCGGUGUUAAACCGGAGGAAGGUGGGGAUGACGUCAAGUCCUCAUGGCCUUUAUGACCAGGGCUACACACGUACUACAAUGGCCGAUACAAAGGGCAGCGACACUGCGAGGUGAAGCCAAUCCCGUAAAAUCGGUCUCAGUCCGGAUUGGAGUCUGCAACUCGACUCCAUGAAGUUGGAAUCGCUAGUAAUCGUGGAUCAGCAUGCCACGGUGAAUACGUUCCCGGGCCUU
rnacentral:rRNA from 1 species